UACAGGGGGUGCAAACGUUGCUCGGAAUCAUUGGGCGUAAAGCGCACGUAGGCGGUCUGUUAUGUCGGCUGUGAAAGCCCUUGGCUCAACUGAGGAAGUGCAUCCGAAACUGGCAGGCUAGAGUACUAAAGAGGAUCGCGGAAUUCCCGGUGUAGAGGUGAAAUUCGUAGAUAUCGGGAGGAACACCGGUGGCGAAGGCGGCGAUCUGGGUAGAUACUGACGCUGAGGUGCGAAAGCGUGGGGAGCAAACAGG
rnacentral:rRNA from 1 species